CUAAAACCAUGCCAGAAACAGUUGACUCAUGUGUAAGAGGACCAUGGUAAGGGCAGGAGUCAAGCAACUGGAUCUCCAUCCCACUGGAACUGGGGCUCAGCAUGGAGUACAGGGCUGGGAUACAGACAACCCCCUUCCAAAUAAACCAAUAUGUGGGUGUGGAACCUUUGUACCAGCAGAAGCCAGCAGGUUUGGAAAGGACUAGAGGGAAUCAGCCCAGGUCCACCCCAAAAAAGAAACAAACAGCUCUUUGGCAGCAACAUCUCCCUUCUUCCCAUUUUCUCUAUGGUGAGGCUUUGUAGCAGUGGUUCCUGGGCUUGGCUUCAGGUUAGAAUGACCCAAGGAGUAUCCAGGACUUUUCAGAACAACUCAAUCAGAAUCUCUACGGUGGAGCCAGGAAUUGAACUUGGGACCUUGCACUUGUGAGGCAGGCAGUGGAACCACCGAGCUAAAUUCCUGGCCCCCAUGACUUCUAUUAAUAAAAACCAUGUAAGCUUUAAAAACGUUUUUGGGGUUUUUUAUAGGAUGUUAAAUUUUGAGUUAUUUUAGUCACAGAACUUUUAGUCAUUUACAUAAACCCUGCACAAAAUAGAACAAAGAGAAUGUUAC
ensembl:lncRNA